rnacentral:rRNA from 1 species
UGGGGGAUAUUGCACAAUGGGCGAAAGCCUGAUGCAGCGACGCCGCGUGAGGGAAGACGGUUUUCGGAUUGUAAACCCCUGUCUUCGGGGACGAAAAUGACGGUACCCGAGGAGGAAGCCACGGCUAACUACGUGCCAGCAGCCGCGGUAAUACGUAGGUGGCAAGCGUUAUCCGGAUUUACUGGGUGUAAAGGGAGCGUAGGCGGCGGAGCAAGUCAGAAGUGAAAGCCCGGGGCUUAACCCCGGGACGGCUUUUGAAACUGCCCUGCUUGAUUUCAGGAGAGGUAAGCGGAAUUCCUAGUGUAGCGGUGAAAUGCGUAGAUAUUAGGGAGAACACCAGUGGCGAAGGCGGCUUACUGGACUGACAAUGACGCUGAGGCU